rnacentral:tRNA from 1 species
GGGUAUAGCUCAGUAGUAGAGCACCUGCUUAGCGUGCAUGAGGUCCUGGGUUCAAUCCCCAGUAAUUCCA